ensembl:lncRNA
AUGAAUAACGCACACAGGGCCUCUAGAAGUGUUUGGAAAACCGCCACACGAAAUGUAGAACUGGGCUUUUUCCUGGCUAGAAUGCGUCCUUUCGCUCUCAUUUCCUGUUUCUCGGCCUCUGUCUCGUUUCUCUUCCCACCCCUACUUCGUGCCACAUUUGCAAAUCUUUCUUUCCUUAAUAUAAACUUCCCCUUCGAGGCCUUCCCACUGCCGAAGUGGUUUCCCACGCAGGGCGGGCUCAGGGGCGCCGUGCCGGGGUGUCCGGCCACCCGGGCGCCCCAGCGCGCUUACCCAGCUUUGCAAGAAAGUGGCGCACGCGAUCGCCGCCGCGCCCGCUCUGCUCCCAGCGCGCCCGCUUCCGUCCGCUCGCCGCCCUGCCCCCGCCGACCCUUCUCCGCCGCGCUGACCCCGCGCCCUCCCAGCCGCCGCGGGAGCACCGGGCCGCGCUGCCCGCCUCCUCUCUCUCCCGCCCCAGAAUCGCGUCGAUCCGCUCCCCGGGGCGCGGAAGCGGGGAGGGAGGGACCCUCGGGAAGGGCGUCGAGGACUCAGCUCCGGGCCGCUCGCUUCUCGGGGCUCCCUUCUGGGGCGCGGGGCGGGGAGGGCCGGACUCCGCUCUCCCGCAGCCCCUUGGCCGGUAUUUACAGCUCCCGCUUCCUGCCCAAAUUCCGAGCGAGGGCGGGUAUCCCAUCUCCCGGGGGUCCGGAACUGGGCGUGCGGCUCCGCCUCGCCCCCAUUCAUCCCGCCAAGGUGAAGCGCUGGGCGGGAGGACGCCCCCGCCUCGCCCGCAACGUGCGUCGCUCGAGAACCCAAACAAUGAUUUCCCCACCGUCUUCCGCAACUGGCCCUGCACGCGCCCCACCUUCGCGUGCGCCCCCGCGCCCAGGGCACCGCCCGCCCGGGCUGCCCCGGCCGGGACCCCAUUGUUGCCCGGCGCGGGCGAUGCCCGGAGCCACGGGGGCGGUCCCCGCGAGCGGUCCCGAGCCGCCGCCGGCCGCUGGAGCCGGCUCCGCCCACACCUUUCCAAGUUAG